GGAUUAGGCAUGCAAGUCGAACGCGUGAGAGGGGCUUGCUCCUCAAGCGAGUGGCGAACGGGUGAGUAACGCGUGGGAAACCUGCCCCGAAGCGGGGAAUAACACUCCCAACGGGGUGCUAAUACCGCAUGGUAUCGCCGGGUGGCAUCAUUUGGCGAUUAAAGGUGGGGACCGUAAGGCCUGCCACUUUGGGAUGGUCCCGCGUCUGAUUAGCUUGUUGGUGAGGUAACGGCUCACCAAGGCGACGAUCAGUAGCUGGUCUGAGAGGAUGGUCAGCCACACUGGGACUGAGAUACGGCCCAGACUCCUACGGGAGGCAGCAGUCGAGAGGCUUCGGCAAUGGGGGAAACCCUGACCGAGCGACGCCGCGUGAGCGAUGAAGCCCUUCGGGGUGUAAAGCUCUUUUGUGAGGGAAGAACUGCAACGGCCCAAUACGCUGUUGUUUGACGGUACCUUACGAAUAAGCUCCGGCUAACUCCGUGCCAGCAGCCGCGGUAAUA
rnacentral:rRNA from 1 species